rnacentral:rRNA from 1 species
GGUUAAGCGACUAAGCGUACACGGUGGAUGCCCUGGCAGUCAGAGGCGAUGAAGGACGUGCUAAUCUGCGAAAAGCGCCGGCGAGGUGAUAUGAACCCUUGACCCGGCGAUGUCCGAAUGGGGAAACCCAGUGUGUUCCGACACACUAUCGUUAACUGAAUACAUAGGUUAACGAGGCGAACCGGGGGAACUGAAACAUCUAAGUACCCGAGGAAAAGAAAUCAACCGAGAUUCCCCAGUAGCGGCGAGCGAACGGGGAGCAGCCCGGAGUCUGAAUCAGCUUGUGUGUUAGUGGAACGGUCUGGAAAGUCCGACGGUACAGGGUGAUAGUCCCGUACACGAAAAUGCACAUGCUGUGAACUCGAAGAGUAGGGCGGGACACGUGGUAUCCUGUCUGAAUAUGGGGGACCAUCCUCCAAGGCUAAAUACUCCUGACUGACCGAUAGUGAACCAGUACCGUGAGGGAAAGGCGAAAAGAACCCCGGCGAGGGGAGUGAAAAAGAACCUGAAACCGUGUACGUACAAGCAGUGGGAGCACCUUCGGGUGUGACUGCGUACCUUUUGUAUAAUGGGUCAGCGACUUAUAUUCUGUAGCAAGGUUAACCGUAUAGGGGAGCCGAAGGGAAACCGAGUCUUAACUGGGCGUUAAGUUGCAGGGUAUAGACCCGAAACCCGGUGAUCUAGCCAUGGGCAGGUUGAAGGUUGGGUAACACUAACUGGAGGACCGAACCGACUAAUGUUGAAAAAUUAGCGGAUGACCUGUGGCUGGGGGUGAAAGGCCAAUCAAACCGGGAGAUAGCUGGUUCUCCCCGAAAGCUAUUUAGGUAGCGCCUCGUGAACUCAUCUUCGGGGUAGAGCACUGUUUCGGCUAGGGGGCCAUCCCGGCUUACCAACCCGAUGCAAACUACGAAUACCGAAGAAUGUUAUCACGGGAGACACACGGCGGGUGCUAACGUCCGUCGUGAAGAGGGAAACAACCCAGACCGCCAGCUAAGGUCCCAAAGUCAUGGUUAAGUGGGAAACGAUGUGGGAAGGCACAGACAGCCAGGAUGUUGGCUUAGAAGCAGCCAUCAUUUAAAGAAAGCGUAAUAGCUCACUGGUCGAGUCGGCCUGCGCGGAAGAUGUAACGGGGCUAAACCAUGCACCGAAGCUGCGGCAGCGACGCUUAUGCGUUGUUGGGUAGGGGAGCGUUCUGUAAGCCGUUGAAGGUGUGCUGUGAGGCAUGCUGGAGGUAUCAGAAGUGCGAAUGCUGACAUAAGUAACGAUAAAGCGGGUGAAAAGCCCGCUCGCCGGAAGACCAAGGGUUCCUGUCCAACGUUAAUCGGGGCAGGGUGAGUCGACCCCUAAGGCGAGGCCGAAAGGCGUAGUCGAUGGGAAACAGGUUAAUAUUCCUGUACUUGGUGUUACUGCGAAGGGGGGACGGAGAAGGCUAUGUCAGCCGGGCGACGGUUGUCCCGGUUUAAGCAUGUAGGCGGAGGUUCCAGGUAAAUCCGGUACCUUAUUAACGCUGAGGUGUGAUGACGAGGCACUACGGUGCUGAAGUGAUAAAUGCCCUGCUUCCAGGAAAAGCCUCUAAGCAUCAGGUAACACGAAAUCGUACCCCAAACCGACACAGGUGGUCAGGUAGAGAAUACCAAGGCGCUUGAGAGAACUCGGGUGAAGGAACUAGGCAAAAUGGUGCCGUAACUUCGGGAGAAGGCACGCUGAUAUGUAGGUGAAGCCCCUGCGGGCGGAGCUGAAAUCAGUCGAAGAUACCAGCUGGCUGCAACUGUUUAUUAAAAACACAGCACUGUGCAAACACGAAAGUGGACGUAUACGGUGUGACGCCUGCCCGGUGCCGGAAGGUUAAUUGAUGGGGUUAGCGGCAACGCGAAGCUCUUGAUCGAAGCCCCGGUAAACGGCGGCCGUAACUAUAACGGUCCUAAGGUAGCGAAAUUCCUUGUCGGGUAAGUUCCGACCUGCACGAAUGGCGUAAUGAUGGCCAGGCUGUCUCCACCCGAGACUCAGUGAAAUUGAACUCGCUGUGAAGAUGCAGUGUACCCGCGGCAAGACGGAAAGACCCCGUGAACCUUUACUAUAGCUUGACACUGAACACUGGUCCUUGAUGUGUAGGAUAGGUGGGAGGCUUUGAAGCGUGGACGCCAGUCUGCGUGGAGCCGCCCUUGAAAUACCACCCUUUAAUGGCUGGUGUUCUAACGUAGACCCGUGAUCCGGGUUGCGGACAGUGUCUGGUGGGUAGUUUGACUGGGGCGGUCUCCUCCCAAAGAGUAACGGAGGAGCACGAAGGUUGGCUAAUCCUGGUCGGACAUCAGGAGGUUAGUGCAAUGGCAUAAGCCAGCUUGACUGCGAGCGUGACGGCGCGAGCAGGUGCGAAAGCAGGUCAUAGUGAUCCGGUGGUUCUGAAUGGAAGGGCCAUCGCUCAACGGAUAAAAGGUACUCCGGGGAUAACAGGCUGAUACCGCCCAAGAGUUCAUAUCGACGGCGGUGUUUGGCACCUCGAUGUCGGCUCAUCACAUCCUGGGGCUGAAGUAGGUCCCAAGGGUAUGGCUGUUCGCCAUUUAAAGUGGUACGCGAGCUGGGUUUAGAACGUCGUGAGACAGUUCGGUCCCUAUCUGCCGUGGGCGCUGGAGAAUUGAGGGGGGCUGCUCCUAGUACGAGAGGACCGGAGUGGACGCAUCACUGGUGUUCGGGUUGUCAUGCCAAUGGCACUGCCCGGUAGCUAAAUGCGGAAGAGAUAAGUGCUGAAAGCAUCUAAGCACGAAACUUGCCCCGAGAUGAGUUCUCCCUGAGACCUUGAGUCUCCUGAAGGAACGUUGAAGACGACGACGUUGAUAGGUCGGGUGUGUAAGCGCAGCGAUGCGUUGAGCUAACCGAUACUAAUGAACCGUGAGGCUUAACCUU